UAAUACGUAGGUGGCAAGCGUUAUCCGGAUUUAUUGGGCGUAAAGCGAGCGCAGGCGGUUUUUUAAGUCUGAUGUGAAAGCCCUUGGCUCAACCAAGGAAGUGCAUCGGAAACUGGAGAACUUGAGUGCAGAAGAGGACAGUGGAACUCCAUGUGUAGCGGUGAAAUGCGUAGAUAUAUGGAAGAACACCAGUGGCGAAGGCGGCUGUCUGGUCUGUAACUGACGCUGAGGCUCGAAAGCAUGGGUAGCGAACAGGAUUAGAUACCCUGGUAGUCCAUGCCGUAAACGAUGAAUGCUAGGUGUUGGAGGGUUUCCGCCCUUCAGUGCCGCAGCUAACGCAUUAAGCAUUCCGCCUGGGGAGUACGACCGCAAGGUUGAAACUCAAAUGAAUUGACGG
rnacentral:rRNA from 1 species